rnacentral:lncRNA from 1 species
AAAGAAGGAAGUGAAAUAGAAGGUCGACAACCUCUCUACUAUAUGAAAGUUACCCUAUAUCUCAGUUACCCUAUUGCAUUGGGAAGUGGGAUCUCUGCCCGCAAGGACUUAUAAUUGUCAUGCAUGCUGGUGGAAUCAACCAUCGAUAAGCAUUUGGUGUUUAUUUAUCAAGAAGUUUAAAUAGGUGUUGCUGUACAACAUUUGGCCUCAUGUGCAAUAACAAGUUUUACUAAAAGUCCUCUUCUGCCUAUUAAUACCUGGAUUGAUGGGAAUUGAAUGAGUCCAGGGUAAUGAGAUGCUAAGAAUGUCACCUUUCCUUAAGGUUUAUUCUUUUGCAAUUUUGGAUAUUCUCAUUUUCAUCACUAAUAUCUUCUAACGGUGGUUUUUUUUCUGCAGGUGGCACCCUUAAGUCCACUAACCCUUAAGGUAAUUUCUGGUGCAACUUCACUUGUAAUGCAGAAAAUUCAAAUCCUCCAGCUUCUGUAUCUACUGAGUGGCGUGGCUACUAGUGCAUGUUGACCAACAAGUUGAUGCACAUGUGAUGAAAGAAAAGGAAGCUCAAUGUGAUAAAUUCGCCGAUAUCGCUGCACAGGCAGGCUGCUAUCUUGUUCCAACUGUUAUCAUACCCCGUAGUUGAUGCACUAGCCCCGUCCCCGAGGGAUAUAUCGGUCGGGCAUCUUCCUAAAGCAUCUAAGAGGGAUAAGAAGGUUACAACUUCCACAAGAUCCAGCAGGCUGUGAUAAUGACCAGGUAUAUUUAACUUAUGUGCAAAGGCAAAGAGCAAGAUCAUCAAGUUACUUUGAAGCCAACAAGAUUUGUUAAAAAUAUGUUAUAAACCCUAUGAUGAUUGUAAUAUAUUUGAUUUUCUCUUAUCUCAGUAAAACUCUUUGAUGAUUAUAGCAUAUGUGAUUUUCUUCAAGUUUUUUUUAUAUGCUUGUUAGUGAAUGGUUUAUCCCUCACCAAGUUUAAUAAACGUAUCUAUUUGGUUG